rnacentral:rRNA from 1 species
UACCGGAUAAGUCUUUACGGAGAAAGCUUUAUGCACCAUUGGAUGAGCCUGCACUUGAUUAGUUUGUUGGUGGGGUAAUGGCCUACCAAGACUGUGAUCGAUAGCUGAUUUGAGAGGAUGAUCAGCCACAUUGGGACUGAGACACGGCCCAAACUCCUACGGGAGGCAGCAGUGGGGAAUCUUGCACAAUGGAGGAAACUCUGAUGCAGCGAUGCCGCGUGAGUGAAGAAGGCCCUUGGGUUGUAAAGCUCUUUCGUCGGGGAAGAAAAUGACUGUACCCGAAUAAGAAGGUCCGGCUAACUUCGUGCCAGCAGCCGCGGUAAUACGAAGGGACCUAGCGUAGUUCGGAAUUACUGGGCUUAAAGAGUUCGUAGGUGGUUGAAAAAGUUAGUGGUGAAAUCCCAGAGCUUAACUCUGGAACUGCCAUUAAAACUUUUCAGCUAGAGUAUGAUAGAGGAAAGCAGAAUUUCUAGUGUAGAGGUGAAAUUCGUAGAUAUUAGAAAGAAUACCAAUUGCGAAGGCAGCUUUCUGGAUCAUUACUGACACUGAGGAACGAAAGCAUGGGUAGCGAAGAGGAUUAGAUACCCUCGUAGUCCAUGCCGUAAACGAUGUGUGUUAGACGUUGGAAAUUUAUUUUCAGUGUCGCAGCGAAAGCGAUAAACACACCGCCUGGGGAGUACGACCGCAAGGUUAAAACUCAAAUGAAUUGACGGGGACCCGCACAAGUAGUGGAGCAUGUGGUUUAAUUCGAAGAUACGCGCAGAACCUUACCAACACUUGACAUGUUCGUCGCGACUCUAAGAGAUUAGAGUUUUCGGUUCGGCCGGACGAAACACAGGUGC